UACGUAGGGUGCAAGCGUUGUCCGGAAUUAUUGGGCGUAAAGAGCUCGUAGGCGGUUUGUCGCGUCGAAUGUGAAAUCCCGGGGCUCAACCCCGGGUCUGCAUUCGAUACGGGCAGACUAGAGUUCGGUAGGGGAGUCUGGAAUUCCUGGUGUAGCGGUGAAAUGCGCAGAUAUCAGGAGGAACACCGGUGGCGAAGGCGGUGGUCUGGGCCGGCACUGACGCUGAGGAGCGAAAGCGUGGGGAGCGAACAGG
rnacentral:rRNA from 1 species